rnacentral:rRNA from 1 species
UACGAAGGGGGCUAGCGUUGUUCGGAAUUACUGGGCGUAAAGCGCGCGCAGGCGGUCCUUCAAGUCAGAGGUGAAAGUCCAGAGCUCAACUCUGGAACGGCCUUUGAAACUAGAGGACUUGGGUACGGGAGAGGUGAGUGGAAUUCCGAGUGUAGAGGUGAAAUUCGUAGAUAUUCGGAAGAACACCAGUGGCGAAGGCGGCUCACUGGCCCGUUACCGACGCUCAGGCGCGACAGCGUGGGGAGCAAACAGG